GAGAAUAGCUCAACUGGAAGAGCAACGGUCUCCAAAACCGUAGGCUGGGGGUUCGAGUCCCUCUUCUCC
rnacentral:tRNA from 1 species